rnacentral:rRNA from 1 species
GACGAACGUUGGCGGCGUGCUUAAUACAUGCAAGUCAACUGAAGCAGUGGUAGCAAUAUCGCUGUGGAGGUGGCGCACGGGUGAGUAACACGUAGGUAAUCUGCCUUCAGGUCUGGCAUAACUCCGGGAAACCGGGGCUAAUAGCAGAUGAUGCAGCGGCUCGACAUCGAGACAGUUGUUAAAGCUAUGGCGCCUGAAGAUGAGCCUGCGUCUGAUUAGCUAGUUGGCGGGUUAACGGCCCACCAAGGCAACGAUCAGGAGCUGGUCUGAGAGGAUGAUCAGCCACACUGGAACUGAGACACGGUCCAGACUCCUACGGGAGGCAGCAGUAAGGAAUAUUGCGCAAUGGGAGAAAUCCUGAAGCGGCAACGCCGCGUGAGGGACGAAGGGCUUUUGCUUGUAAACCUCUGUAGUGAGAGAAAAAAAUCCCAAUCUUUGGGACAUGAUGGUAUCUCAAAAGUAAGCCCCGGCUAACUACGUG